GGGGGCGUUUGCGCCAGGCCCAGCUGCGGCGCGAAGUCGGUCGCGAGAGGGCGCGUUCUCCCAGCGAUUGCGCAGAUUGCGGGGCACCAGGUGGGCCUGCUGAGUCGCCGCCGGGAGCUGGCGGGCCGCAGACCCGGCAGCCCUACCCGACCUUGAUGAUUGCAUCCAGUAACAAUUGGAUGUGCGACCUUGAACAGUGUGAAGCCCAGCAUUUCUCCUGGUAUCCUGAGGAGAACUAGAGACUCUUAGGGCUGUGAAACCUCUCCCCUUAUUUUAAAGAUAAGAGAUGACUGAGUGAUAACAUGGAGAGGUCAGUGCAUUGAAAGAAGAUUUGUGUUACCUGCAUUUUCUGAGAGGAGGGGGGUCACCACAUGGGGACACGGGUUCAAGCCCUGGUCCAGGAAGAUCUCACAUGCUUCAGAGCAACUAAGCCCAUGUGCCAUGACUGCUGAGCCUGCGUGCGGCAACUACUGAAGCCUGUGCACCUAGAGCCCAUGCUCUGCAACAAGAGAAGCCACUGCAAUGAGAAGACCACACACAGCAACGAAGAGUAACCCCUGCUCGGUGCAACUAGAGAAAGCCCACAUGCAGCAAUAAAGACCCAAUGCAGCCCAAAUUAAAUAAAUAAAUAAUUUUUUAAAAAUGUACCUUUCAUUAGCUGCCUCACUUUUUCUAUGUCACUUCCCUACUUCCCUUUCCAGUGUCCCCUCCCAGCUGCCCAACUGGAAGUGCUUUCCUUGUAUUCUUUUUG